rnacentral:lncRNA from 1 species
CCAGGCAGUGUGGUGGUCUGGGCAGGGUGAGUAGUCUAGGCAGUGUGGUGAUCCGGGCAGUGUGAGUGCUCCAGGCAGUGUGGUGGUCUGGGCAGGGUGAGUAGUCUAGGCAGUGUGGUGAUCCGGGCAGUGUGAGUGCUCCAGGCAGUGUGGUGGUCCGGGUAGGGUGGUAGUCUUAACAGGGUGAGUGGUCCGGGCAGUGUGGUGGUCCGGGUAGGGUGGUAGUCUUAACAGGGUGAGUGGUCCGGGCAGUGUGGUGGUCCGGGCAGUGUGGUGGUCCGGGCAGGGUGAGUGGUCCGGACAGUGUGGUGGUUCGGGCAGUGUGGUGGUCUGGGCAGUGUGGUGGUCCAGGCAGGGUGAGUGGUCCGGGCAGUGUGGUGGUCCGGGCAGUGUGGUGGUCUGCGUAGGGUGUUGGUCCCAGUAGGGUGGUGAGCCUGGCAGGGUGAGUGAUCUGAACAGUGUUUCGUCUGGGGCAGAGGUAAAGGUGCUGGCAGAGACAUCAAGCUCCGUCCAUUUUCCCGGCAGUGCUGUUGAGUGUGGCUGGAGGAUCCGAGGGUGUGGUCUGAGCGACCUCAGUGGGGCCUUGAUUGCUGGGUGUUGUCCAGAAACCCGCCGCUCCUCCCACUGGCCUUGACCUUGGCUGGGCUGGGGGUUGCUGGGCGGCAGGGGCAGGCAGCCACCUCUGCACACAGGGCCACCCUCGCCACUGCUCUCCCCAUUGGAUUCUGCAGAGCCGGGGACUUCACGGCCCUGACCGCUGCCCUGUAUCUCGGUGACGUGAUGUGCUCGUGUUGGUUUUUCCUGUCUUUUUUUAGACUUAAUCAGAAAUAAGGUAGAAGGUCAGAGUCCACAGCAAAGAGGCACAGAGGGGAACGGCAGCUCCUUGGGUCCCACGGGGCUGUGCCUGCUCCUUGGUGGGGACACUGGAGGCCCAGAGUGGCACAGACCCUGUCUUCACUGAGGGGAGAAAGAGGCAGCCCCGGGGCAUGAGAGCCACCCCUGCUGAUGCUGCCCCGGGCCCACAAGGGCCAAGCUCCAGGAACAUGGAAGUCCUGCCCUGGGCAGCACAGCCUCCAGAUUCCAAGAACCCAGCCUGGCACCCCAGGCUGGGCACAGCAAGGAGAGAGACUUCGACACUCUGCAUUAAGAUGGUAGCUCGUGGCCGGCGCGGUGGCUCAUCCCUGUAAUCCCAGCACUUUGGGAGGCCGAGGCGGGUGGAUCACAAGGUCAGGAAUCAAGACCAUCUGGUUAACACCAUGAAACCCUGUCUCUUAAAAAUAUGAAAACUUAGCCGGGCGUGGUGGCAGGCGCCUGUAGUCCCAGCUACUGGGGGGAGGCCGAGGCAGGAGAAUGGCGUGAACCUGGGAGGCGGAGCUUGCAGUGAGCCGAGAUCACAUCACUGCACUCCAGCCUGCGCCACAGAGCAAAACUCCGUCACACACACACAAAAAAAUGGUAGCUCCUGAGCCAACACUUUUCCGCUCCCCCACCCGCUGCGUCUCAGCAUUCCUUAGGCUCUCCCCUUGGGAGACUCACAUGUAUGGGGCGGGGGAGCGGGGGUUUCCUAGGCCCUGACUCAGCUAGAGCGUCUGGCUGACCCGUCAUUGUCCAGGGAAGCCAUGGAUCUGGUGGCCGCAGCCCAGCGCCGUCCUCACCACCCAGGCCUGCCUGGAGCCCAGUGGCUGUCAGGGCAGCCGAGACCAGAAGCGCAGGUGGAGCCAAGGCCCCGCUGCAGUCCGCAGAGUUGCAACUCUGGGAGCUGAGCCCUCACAAGCCUUGCUUUUCACCUCCUCCCAGUGCUACCAGCCAGACCCCGAGGGCCCGGGACCCUCCAUGUACCCAUCCACACUUCUCGGCCCACCCCUCCCUGACAGCCCCGGCACCCCGGGAGGGAGCAGGUGCGUCCCGCUUCGGGCCCUCUGAACCCCCUCCAUUUCGGGCUGUUUCAGACUUCGGCCUCUCUGAAGCUCCUCCAUUUCUGGCUGCUUUUCACUGCCGUCUGCCUGCCUGUGUUCUUGUCUUCACGCCGGCCUUUGGACUGCAGUGUGAGAAGGCAGCACCGCCCCGGCGCCCGCGAGGAAGCCGAACUGCUCAUAAGUUAAGCAGCCCCAGCCAGGUCACGGGGCAAGGAAGCCGCCUGCGACCUCGGAAACCCCUGGUUCAUCCCAUGACCCACCCCCGUUCAUCCGGUGACCCACCCCUCACCCCGGUUCAUCCCGUGACCCACCCCCCCGUUCAUCCCAUGACCCAGCCCCCCACCCCGGUUCAUCCCAUGACCCAGCCCCCCACCCCGGUUCAUCCCAUGACCCACCCCCCACCCCGGUUCAUCCCGUGACCCACCCCCCGUUCAUCCCAUGACCCAGCCCCCCACCCCGGUUUAUCCCGUGACCCACCCCCUGUUCAUCCCGUGACCCACCCCCCGUUCAUCCCGUGACCCAGCCCCCAACCCCGUUCAUCCCGUGACCCACCCCCAACCCCGGUUUAGCCCGUGACCCACCCCCCCCCCGUUCAUCCCGUGACCCACCCCCCGGUUCAUCCCGUGACCCAGCCCCCAACCCCGUUCAUCCCGUGACCCAGACCCCACCCUGGUUUAUCCCAUGACCCACCCACGGUUCAUCCUGUGACCCGCCCCCCGUUCAUCCCGUGACCCACCCCCCACCCCUGGUUUAUCCCGUGACCCACCCCCGGGUCAUCCUGUGACCCAGACCCCACCCUGGUUUAUCCCAUGACCCGCCCACGGUUCAUCCUGUGACCCGCCCCCCGUUCAUCCCGUGACCCAGCCCCCCACCCCUGGUUUAUCCCGUGACCCACCCCCGGGUCAUCCUGUGACCCAGACCCCACCCCUGGUUUAUCCCGUGACCCACCCUCGGGUCAUCCCGUGACCCAGACCCCACGCCUGGUUUAUCCCGUGACCCACCCGCAGCACCAGCACCUCAGUGCUGCUUUUGUAUUUAUAGUCGCCUUGCUGUAUGUUGAGCGUAAUUUUACAAUCUGCCCAAAAUUCCUUUGAAGAGCAGAUAGGUGUGUACACCCUAAAUGAAUAAAAUACAGUGCGAUUUGGUGAAAGGUAA